rnacentral:sRNA from 1 species
GCGCCAGAGAGGGUGAGAGCCC